CCCCUCUCCCGAAUGCCAAAUAUGUCAUUACAAUUCCUAUUCAAAUCCAAUCAAACCAUGAUUACUACAAACGCCACCGUAUUGCCGUGCUCCUAUAUACAGGUUUGAGGCUUAGCUCCCUUUAAGCAAAUAUUUAUCCCUCCAGCCAGGAUGACUUUAUUGCAGUUUGUGAUUAUAUAUGGGUCUGUGAGAGGAGUGUGUCAACCGUGCAUGCUCCACAAUGUGCCUGGAGAGAUUGAUGUUUUGUCAUCCACCUGCUUCAAAGCUGUAAAACCCGGGAGGCAGCAGCAAACGGAGAGACCUACCCAGCCCGGGAAAAAAACAAACAAAGAGAGACCUUACUGGUGCUGUUUACACAUCUGUGUGGAGGACUAUCUGGGCUUGUGUGUUUUGACAUCGCGCUCAAAUGGCUGCACGGCUCCUGUCUCAGUGAAACGGAAGAUGUAGAGGAGCUGAAUGCUGGAGAGUGAUUGAAGGAGUGAAGCUGAGCCCUGGAUGGAGGGAUCUGCUGGAGGAAAGGAGAGAGAGAGUGUCGGCGGAACUGGGCCACAGCAUCCGAGCUGGGAGACCUGAGAGAAGAGAUGGGAGAGGGCGGCUCCGCUGACUGGAGGAGUACCAGCUGGUCUCAAACAGAUAAUCUGGUGGAUUUACAUGUAUAUGGUGAAACAGAUCGGGACAAGGAAGAGUGGAGAGCAUGAAGAUGACGGCAGGCUUCACGAGACAGUGGGAAUUGUGACGGACAGGACAUGAACCAUGUCCCAGGCCAACCCAGCCCAGCCCAGCCCACGCCAGCCCAGGCCAGGCCAGGCCAGGCCAGGCCAGGCCAGUCCACAUUCAUUAGCCGGUGGCUCUCUCUCCCGGAGCUGCCUGCUGCCUGUCUGCCUGUUUGCUGACUGCUUGUGGAAAAAGCCAUUUAGCCUGCUGAAUGUCAAGAGGACCUGACCCCUAGGACCAUGCCUCAGGACUACCUGGAAUGAUGACUCCUUGCUGUCCCCAGUCCACCUGGUUGUGCUGCAGCUACAGUUUCAACUGUUCUGCCUGUGCCUAUGGAACCCCGACCUGUUCACCGGACGUGCUACCUUGUCCCAGACCUGCUGUUUUCAACUCUCUACAAACAACAGGUGUGGUAGAGAUACUCUGAAUGAUCGGCCAUGAAAAGCCAACUGACAUUUACUCCUGAGGUGCUGACCUGUUGCACCCUCUACAACCACUGUGAUUAUUAUUAUCUGACCCUGCUGGUCAUCUAUGAAUGUUUGAACAUCUUGGCCAUGUUCUGUUAUAAUCUCCACCCAGCACAGCCAGAAGAGGACUGGCCACCCCACAUAGCCUGGUUCGUCUCUAGGUUUCUUCCUAGGUUCCGGCCUUUCUAGGGAGUUUUUCCUAGCCACCUUGCUUCUACACCUGCACUGCUUGCUGUUUGGGGUUUUAGGCUGGGUUUCUGUACAGCACUUUGUGACAUCACUUGAUGUAAGAAGUGCUUCAUAAAUACAUUUGAUUGAUUGAUUGUAGCGCCUUGCGGUCAGAUGCCAAGCAGUUGCCGUACCAAGUGGUGAUGCAGCAAGUCAAGAUGAUCUCAAUGGAGCAGUUGUAGAACUUUUUGCCAAAUAUUCUCAGCCUACUGAGGGGGAAGAGGCAUUGUCAUGCCUUCUUCUGUGUUGGUGUGCGUGGACCAUGUCAAUUCCUUAGUGAUGUGGACACCGAGGAACUUGAAGCUCUCAACCCGCUCCACCUCAGCACCGUCGAUGUGGAUGGGGUUCAUGCUCAGCCUUCCGUUUCCUGUAGUCAACGUGCAUUUUACUGGUAACAAAGUUCUCCCCCUCUUCCUCAGCCUCAUCAUCCUCAUCGCCACCGCGAGCGUAAACACAAAACUCUUCGUUCUAACAAACCUUGAAAUUCCAGAUAUAAAGGUACAGUAUGUAAAUGUUCCCUGUCAGAGAAGCUCAGCUCCGGUCUGCGUUAUGUUUAGCACUCUCUCCCCUGAGAGUACCCCACUGCACUGAGCCAUGGAAAUGUCAGCGGUCAAGUUUACAUGGGAAAAGUUGGAAAGCUAAACCGCCGGUCACCCUGGGCCACAGAAAAGGUCAGUGCCUUGUCAACAGCUGGUGGAUAUGUCACUUUGAACCCCCCCCCAGUCACAGUUAGAAUCAUCCAUGUGAUGUCACCUCUCUUCUGCUUCCAUCCUUCUCUGCAUGGGCCACAUUUUUGUGGCAAUCAGAAUUAAAUGUAAUAAGUAAUUUUCCAUACAGUGCUUAACAACGAGAACAAAGGCUACUGCAUAGUAUAGGAAAGCAUUUUUAUGUAAUGUCUUAUAGUAAAUGUUCACUGUUCAACAUCAGAACCAUUCCAGGCAGAAAUACUGCAUUGUAACAGGAGCUAGUAACAUAAGCACUUCGCUGCACUCACUUUAACAUCAGCUAACCUGUGUACGUGACCAAUACACUUUGAUUUGAUUUGAUUUAAGUCGCCCUUAGACACAGAUCUGUGAUCAUUUUACCCUCCCCAAAUCCUAACUGUUUUGGGGGUUAAACGCAAAUCUGACCUUAGGGACGACUUCCUUCUACCAUCAGGACCAGGGCAUUAUGAUUCAUUAUUAAUCAUCAGUCUAAGUAUCACAGCAGGUAAGAAGGAGUAGGAAGGGAGAUAGCAGCAUGCUGCCUGGGUUUGGUGCCAAAAACGCCAUUCCCCAAUCUCUUCUUCUCCCUUUCCACUCUCCUUCUGUUUCUCUUUUUACUCCCGCUUUCUUCCAUUCUGAAAGCUGUGCAGCUUGAUCUUUAAUCUCACCCCCUCUCCUCCCUUUUCUCCUUCCCCCACUCCUCAUCUCUCCUCCCCUCUCUCUGCAGACACGGGUGUGUUGCUCUUCGCUAUAGGGGGUAAGAUGUGGAGGUCUGGUCUUACACAGCUAACAUAUGUCAGAACACCUGAGCAGCAGCUAGCCCUCCCCAUUCCCUCCUUACGACCUGCUCCCCUCCGCUCCUCUGCCACUCCUGGGUUAAUGUGCCCCCCAGCCGUGUGGCAGGGCGAGCUGGCGCGCUUCCCUCUCGCCCGGCCAGCCCCCACGCUGGGCGACCACGGCCAACCGACAGCAUCCAUCGCCCCGACAUGACGGAUCACAUAUGGAAGCCUUCCACCACCACCGGCGCACCGGCAGAUAGGGGGCAGGGGGAGGAUGGAUGGGAGGAGAGAGAGGGGGGGAGUUGGUUUUAACAUGGCAUAUAGAGAAUCAAGGUUCUACGCAGCAUUAAACCACACAGCAGAGGAAGAAAAGCGGUCUUCUCCAAACAAAGUUUCCCCCCAAUUAACAGUACCCCCUGUUACACCAAAGGUUCUCAAAGGUCAGAAGAUUUUGACCCAAAGGGACAGAAAAGGAAGGAGAUACACCUUAAAAGAAUAGACAGACAGAGACACAAAGACAGAGAGAGAGACAGAAGGUGAAUGGGGGUGAGUGAGGGGACAUUGAGAGAAGAAGAAGAGUGUUCAGACAGCACUUUAUCACUUGCUUUAAAACUCUCAAUCUUCCUCUCGUCUUUAGCAUUUGAAGCGCUAAGGUCCCCAGUGCCAGCAAAGGUCAGGGCUAUGAUUUAUUGGUCUCUUAUGGAGGUGCUGUCUGUAGGGCUGAGCGUUGUGCCAUACGUCUGGACACCAGCCAACAUUACUGGGUUCAAACUCAGCCAACACACUAGAACAGGCUUGGGGUCAAUGCCAUUUCAGCUCAAAAUAAUGACAGGAAACUUUCCUUAAUAUGUAGAUUUGUAAAUAAUUUAUUUUCUUAGCCUCCUGAAGUAUGACCAUUUUAUUUGCUUGGCAGCACGCAAGGCCAGAAUCCACUAUGCUACAAACUCAAAGGACAUCAAUUCUCCUCUCUUUUCUCUCCAACAUGUUCAGACUGUAAUACAUGUUUAAUAUGAUACAUUGUACAGCGGGAAUACGAAUCAAAAUACUGUGUAAUUAUUUUUCAAUAUUUUAAUUCAAAUCUUUUUCAGAUCAUGUCCUUGUGAUGCCAAACAUUUAUGAAAUAUGGAGAGUACCCUUGUCAAGUCUAAGUUGAAAAUUAGACACUUGUUCAUUUUGAUGUAAAUACAUGAAACUUAAUAUCCUCCAGUCCAGUACCAUUUUCUUCCUGUUUGUCAAUUCAGUGUUAUUGAUCACUAAUGAUUCAUACAAGUGAAAAUGUUAUCAUUAUUUUCCUGAAUUGCACUUAAUUUGACAUGACAAGGUCUCACAUUUUAACAAUAAACAUAAUAAACAUUUGAAUGAUUGUAUUGCGUUUUAGGGAGGGCUUUUGCCUGAUAUGUGU
ensembl:lncRNA